rnacentral:rRNA from 1 species
AUUGAACGCUGGCGGCAGGCCUAACACAUGCAAGUCGAACGAGCGGCGGACGGGUGAGUAAUGUCUGGGAAACUGCCUGAUGGAGGGGUAUAACUAAUGGAAACGGUAGCUAAUACCGCAUACCAUCGGAUGUGCCCAGAUGGGAUUAGCGAGUAGGUGGGGUAAAGGCUCACCUAGGCGACGAUCCCUAGCUGGUCUGAGAGGAUGACCAGCCACACUGGAACGUAGACACGGUCCAGACUCCGACGGGAGGCAGCAGUGGGGAAUAUUGUACAAUGGUCGCAAGCCUGAUGCAGCCAUGCCGCGUGUAUGAAGAAGGCCUUUGGGUUGUAAAGUACUUUCAGCGGGGAGGCGUUACCCGCAGAAGAAGCACCGGCUAACUCCGUGCCAGCAGCCGCGGUAAUAC